GAGUUUGAUCGUGGCUCAGAUUGAACGCUGGCGGCAGGCUUAACACAUGCAAGUCGAGCGGAGAUGAGGUGCUUGCACCUUAUCUUAGCGGCGGACGGGUGAGUAAUGCUUAGGAAUCUGCCUAUUAGUGGGGGACAACAUUCCGAAAGGGAUGCUAAUACCGCAUACGUCCUACGGGAGAAAGCAGGGGAUCUUCGGACCUUGCGCUAAUAGAUGAGCCUAAGUCGGAUUAGCUAGUUGGUGGGGUAAAGGCCUACCAAGGCGACGAUCUGUAGCGGGUCUGAGAGGAUGAUCCGCCACACUGGGACUGAGACACGGCCCAGACUCCUACGGGAGCAGCAGUGGGGAAUAUUGGACAAUGGGGGGAACCCUGAUCCAGCCAUGCCGCGUGUGUGAGAAGGCCUUAUGGUUGUAAAGCACUUUAAGCGAGGAGGAGGCUACUGAGACUAAUACUCUUGGAUAGUGGACGUUACUCGCAGAAUAAGCACCGGCUAACUCUGUGCCAG
rnacentral:rRNA from 1 species